rnacentral:rRNA from 1 species
CCUACGGGGGGCAGCAGUAGGGAAUCUUCCACAAUGGGCGAAAGCCUGAUGGAGCAACGCCGCGUGGGUGAAGAAGGUCUUCGGAUCGUAAAACCCUGUUGUUCGAGAAGAAAGUGCGUGAGAGUAACUGUUCCCGUUUCGACGGUAUCUAACCAGAAAGCCACGGCUAACUACGUGCCAGCAGCCGCGGUAAUACGUAGGUGGCAAGCGUUAUCCGGAUUUAUUGGGCGUAAAGGGAACGCAGGCGGUCUUUUAAGUCUGAUGUGAAAGCCUUCGGCUUAACCGGAGUAGUGCAUUGGAGACUGGGAGACUUGAGUGCAGAAGAGGAGGGUGGAACUCCAGGUGUAGCGGUGAAAUGCGGAGAGAUAUGGAAGAACACCAGUGGUGAAAGCGGCUCUCUGGACGGUAACUGACGCUGAGGUUCGAAAGCGUGGGUAGCAAACAGGAUUAGAUACCCUUGUAGUC